UACGGAGGGUGCAAGCGUUGUUCGGAAUUACUGGGCGUAAAGCGCGUGUAGGCGGUCGCUUAAGUCUGAUGUGAAAGCCCGGGGCUCACCCCCGGAAGAGCAUUGGAAACUGGGCGACUAGAGUGCCGGAGAGGAGGGUGGAAUUCCUGGUGUAGCGGUGAAAUGCGUAGAUAUCAGGAGGAACACCGGUGGCGAAGGCGGCCCUCUGGACGGAUACUGACGCUGAGACGCGAAAGCGUGGGGAGCAAACAGG
rnacentral:rRNA from 1 species